rnacentral:rRNA from 1 species
GGACUACCAGGGUUUCUAAUCCUGUUUGAUCCCCACGCUUUCGUGCCUCAGUGUCAAUGUAUCCGUAGUAAGCUGCCUUCGCAAUUGGUGUUCUAUGUCAUAUCUAAGCAUUUCACCGCUACAUGACAUAUUCCGCUUACCUCCAGAUAAUUCAAGACUUAUAGUAUCAAUGGCAGUUUCCGGGUUAAGCCCGGAGAUUUCACCGCUGACUUACAAGCCCACCUACGCACCCUUUAAACCCAGUGAAUCCGGAUAACGCUUGCACCCUCCGUAUUACCGCGGCUGCUGGCAC